UACAGAGGUGGCAAGCGUUGUUCGGAAUUACUGGGCGUAAAGGGCGCGUAGGCGGUCUUGUAAGUCUUGUGUGAAAUCCCUCGGCUUAACUGAGGAACUGCACGGGAUACUGCAUGACUUGAGAUCGGGAGAGGGAAGCGGAAUUCCGGGUGUAGCGGUGAAAUGCGUAGAUAUCCGGAGGAACACCGGUGGCGAAGGCGGCUUCCUGGACCGACACUGACGCUGAGGCGCGAAAGCUAGGGGAGCAAACGGG
rnacentral:rRNA from 1 species